AUUUAGACUCAUUGAGCAGGGGGCAUCAAAGAAGAUCCUUUAGGUGGAAGAAACAGCCUGAAACCUGAAAGAUGAGGAGGUAAUAUGGCACAUUUGAAAGAGUGCCAUAGAUGUGUGCUAUGGGUGUAAGGGUAUAGCUCACAUGCAGAGAGAAUAAUAUGUGUGAAGCCUCAGAAGAAAGACAGUGAAUGGCUUUCAAAAAACUAAAAGAGGUUCAGUGUGACCAGAAUACAGAGUUUGAGGAUCUUUCAGUUAUCUAUUGUUAUCCAACAACACACCUCAAAAUGCAGUGGCUUUGAAAUACAAAAGGCUGAUUUGCAUCAAGUAACUGAUAAUUUUGCAUCAGAAAGCACAGAGACUAGAGGAUAGUGGAAUGACAUCCUUAAAGCACUGAAAGAAAAAAAAACUAUCAACCCAGAAUUUAGUAUCCAUCAAAAAUAUCCUUCAGGAAUGAGAAACAAAAAUGAAACCUUUCUCGGGUGAAAGAAAAAUGGAGAGAAUUUGUCACCAGCGGACCUGCUCUAAAAUAAAUGCUAAAAGAAGUUAUUCAGGAUGGAAGAAAAUUAUACCAGAUACUAAAGACUUCAGGAAUGAAGAAAGAGCAACAGAAAUGGCAAAUAGCUGGGCAAAAAUGGACUGUUUGGUGUUGGAGGCUGAGCAGAGGUGGGCAAAAAGGAACAGAAGGAGAGUAACUGGUGAAGAAGGAGCAAAGAGUGAGGCACAAAAUGAAGUCUCACCAUGUUGCCCAAGCUGGUCUCAAACUCUUGGCCUCCAGAAAUCCUCCAACUUCAGCCUCCCAAGGUGCUGGGAUUACAGGUAAUAGCCACUGUGCCCAGUUAAGGUGCAACUUCUUUAUGGAGCUUUUCUUUACUUCUCCAAGCAAAAUUAGUUGCUCCCUUCUCUAUGUUCUCUGUACAUUUUAGUUUGUACCAUAUAAAAUUGCCUCUAUGUAACCAUUUUUGACCUACAAAUCUGGCAAUUUUAUAUCAUUUAGCCAAAUAUCUCCUUAUCCCAUUGUAUUACAUUUUGGGUUGGCAUGUGUCUAUCCUCUCUCCAUUCCACCCCCCAGAAUGUAAGUUCCAUGACAGUUAACAGUAAGAGCUGACUUUCUGUGUGCUUCCUAGGAGGCCAGGACUGUUCUACACACUUGAAGUAAAUUAACUCUUUUAAUUCUUAGAGCAAUGGUGUAAUGAUGAUACUUUUCUAUGCAUAGUACCACUAGAUAAGUGAGGAAGCUGAGGCACACAGAAGCUGUAUUUGUCAAGGUUCUCCAGAAGGACAGAACUAGUCAGAUAUAUGUCUAUAUUAAAGGGAGUUUAUUAGGGAGAAUUGGCUCACACAGUCAAAGGUGAAGUUCCACACAAUAGCCACCUGCAAGCUGAGGAAGAAAGAAGCCAGUAGUGGCUCAGUUUGAGUUCAAAAGCCUCAAAAGCAGGAAAGCCUACAGUGCAACCUUCAGUCUGUGGCAAGGCCUGAGAGCCCCAGCAAACCACUGGUGUAAGUAGUCCAAGGGUCCAAAGGCCAAAAAACCUGGAGUCUGAUGUCCAAGAGCAAGAGGAACAGAUGGAAGCAUCCAGCACAGGAGAAAGAUGAAAGCCAGAAGACCCAGCAAGACAGCUUAUCCCACCUCCUUCCACCUGCUUUAUUCUAGCCACGCUGGCAGCUGAUUGGGUGGUGCCCACUCACAUUGAGGGUGGGUCCAGUCCACUGACUCACAUGUCAAUCUCCUCUGGCAACAUUCUCACAGACGCACCCAGAAACAACACCUUACCGGCUAUCUAGACAUCCUGCAAUCCAAUCAAGCUGACACCCAGUAUUAAUCAUCACAGAAUCUAAGUAACUUGCCCAGCCUCACAAAACUUGACAGAGCUUGGAUUUGAGCCUAGGUUAUCUGUCUUUAAGGUCCAGAGACUUAACCAUUUCUCUAAAAUCCUUCUAUUACUAUUCUGUCUGGUUGUGUUUUGUUCACCACUGUAUUCCCAGGGCUAGCACAAGGCUAGGGACCUACUAGGUGCUUAGUAAAGAGGUGAAUUAAAUGAUUUUGUACCAGUCACAUUUACUGAGCACCUACUCUGUGCUCCCAGAUGUUGUGGUGGUAGGCACCAAGAAAAAUAAGGCCCAGUCCCCACCUUUAUGGAGAUGGUGGCCAAGCAGGGGCCCCUGGAAACAGUGUAGCAUUUACAUUGAGGAGGCUGAACGUCAGAGGUGAGGAGAACUAUGGAUGGCCUGUUGUGUACCUGGAGGUAGAACAGGUGAUGGAGAAGUCCUGAGAAAGAGAAGGGUAGAAUUAUCCAUGUGAAGGAGGGUCCAGGUUCAAUGCAGAUGUGUUCUAGACAGAUGGAGCAGCUUAUGCAAA
rnacentral:lncRNA from 1 species